UAGUCCACGCCGUAAACGAUGUGUGCUAGAUGUCGGGUCCAUAGGAUUCGGUGUCGCAGCUAACGCACUAAGCACACCGCCUGGGGAGUACGGUCGCAAGAUUAAAACUCAAAGGAAUUGACGGGGGACCCGCACAAGCGGUGGAGCAUGUUCUUUAAUUCGACGCAACGCGAAGAACCUUACCUACACUUGACAUCCUGAUCGCGUUUUCUAGAGAUAGAUUACUUCAGUUCGGCUGGAUCAGUGACAGGUGCUGCACGGCUGUCGUCAGCUCGUGUCGUGAGAUGUUUGGUUAAGUCCAGUAACGAGCGCAACCCCUAUCGUUAGUUGCCAUCAUUCAGUUGGGCACUCUAGCGAGACUGCCGGUGAUAAGCCGGAGGAAGGCGGGGGAUGACGUCAAGUCCUCAUGGCCCUUAUGGGGCUGGGGCUACACACGUGCUACAAUGGGAGUUACAGUGGGGCAGCAACGUCGCGAGGGCGAAGCUAAUCCCUAAAA
rnacentral:rRNA from 1 species